rnacentral:lncRNA from 1 species
GUGUCCACACCCCUGGAUCCACCCACUAAACCUUAACUAAAAGGUCGAGGAAGGGGAUUCAGUAAAUUGGCCUCAGCCACACCCAAUGUGCAGAAAAUACCAAUGAACAAUGACACAAUGGAAAGGGCUCUCCCUCCUGCCUGAAAGGAAAACCAUACGGAAAGAAGUCGAGAAGCGGGGACGGUGCCCACUGCUACUCUGGCUUGAAUGCGUCCCCCAAAGAGCAUGUGUCCCCAAGGCCACAGUGCUGAGAGAUGGGACCUUGAAAAGGUCUCAGGAAACACCACACCAGAGUGUCUCAGACGUGCUUGCUUUCUCAGUUUCCAAAAGAACUGACUGGGCACAGACAGACAACACUCUGAAGCUUCAGCCAAAGGCCUGUGGAACAGCAGCGUGACUCCGAGCCAGGAAAACCCAACCUUCAGUGACCUGUGUCCCCCCUGGCCAAAUAUAAUUGUCUCUUGGGUUUAUACAGAAUAUUUACUUGUUUGGAGUUGAGACAGCUGGGUGAGCAUUUGGUUUCCAGAACUCCCGUCCCUUCUUCAGUGACCUUGAAGGGCCUUUGAUUCCCAGCACCCUGGGCCUCCUUCCCACUGUACUGCUUUACUGUCAGAGUGCAGGCAAUUUGUUUUUGCUUUUGCUGAACUUUAAGCCCAACCUAAAUGAAAGCACAACAGCGAGGAAUAAAGUCCCCAGCUAAUCUGAAUAAUUUCUUUGGUGCUGGAGAUAGAACUCAGGGCCUCAAACAUGCUAGGCCAGCACUCUCCCCCCG